UAGGGAAUAUUGGACAAUGGGGGCAACCCUGAUCCAGCAAUGCCGCGUGAGUGAUGAAGGCCUUAGGGUUGUAAAGCUCUUUUACCCGGGAUGAUAAUGACAGUACCGGGAGAAUAAGCCCCGGCUAACUCCGUGCCAGCAGCCGCGGUAAUACGGAGGGGGCUAGCGUUGUUCGGAAUUACUGGGCGUAAAGCGCACGUAGGCGGCGAUUUAAGUCAGAGGUGAAAGCCCGGGGCUCAACCCCGGAACAGCCUUUGAGACUGGAUUGCUUGAACAUCGGAGAGGUGAGUGGAAUUCCGAGUGUAGAGGUGAAAUUCGUAGAUAUUCGGAAGAACACCAGUGGCGAAGGCGGCUCACUGGACGAUUGUUGACGCUGAGGUGCGAAAGCGUGGGGAGCAAACA
rnacentral:rRNA from 1 species